AAUAUUUGGUUAAUUUUCACUGAUUACGACCAAGCCCGAUUACCUCCAGACCAGUUCAAUCACGAAAUCACUUGAACAGAAUAUGUCCCGACAAAAUCAACUUGGAGAAAAGAUCUAAAAAAACCUGCAACAAAAUGACACGAUCCAAAGAAAUUCCAGAACAGUCGAGAAAUAAAGUCAUUGAAGUCAGUCUGGAAAGGGUUACGAAAGCCAUUUCUUAAGCUUUCAGAUUCCAGCAAACCAUAGGGAGAGCCAUUAUCAUCACAUGGAGAAAACAUGGAACAGUGGUGACCCUUCCCAGGAGUGGCCGGCCUACAAAGAUUACCCCAAGAGAACAGCAACGACUCAUCCAGGAGGCCACAAACGAACUCAGGACAACUUCGAAAGAACUGCAGGCCUCCCUUGCCUCAGUUGAGAUCAACAAGCUUCCGCGGAGCUAAUGAAGCCUCACCGCCGCCCCCACGCAACCCGACCGCCACUCCGUCCCUGCAUUAUUUCCGCGACCAAAAAAGCUGCCGUGUCUGUUUACGCCUCAGCGAGCCGCUGCGCACCCACGCAGUGGAUGGCGAGCGUGGAACUUCUGCGCGGAGGGUCAAAAAGGGUCUACGCAAAACAUCUGCUGAUCCCUCCCCCGUGUCGUGCCGCGAACUCACCACCGCGCCGCCAUGCGGGUAAACAAACAUGGCAGAAACCUAAUUGAAUUAUUUCCGUCAGACAACAAGCAUGCGGAUCGGCGGCACGGACACGUUUGCUACCACAUUGGAGGCAAAAGUCAGCAUGCCGCAUAGAGACCUCACAUCACAGCGCACUUUAGGAUUAAUGCCACAUGGGUCGCCACAGCGCGUCGUCCUUUUGCCAUGAGAGCCUAUCUCCUGCAUCCUCCUCUCGAACACCAACUGCCCUCCUGUCUUCCCUCACGACAUCCAUCAACCUUGUCCUUGGUCUUCCUCUAGCUCUCUUGCCUGGCAGCUCCAUCUUCAUCAUCCUUCUACCAAUAUACUGACUAUUUCUCCUCUGGACGUGUCCAAACCAUCGAAGUCUGCUCUCUCUAACUUUGUCUCCAAAACAUCGAACCUCGGCUGUCCCUCUGAUGAGCUCAUUUCUAAUUUGAUCCAACCUGGUCACUCCGAGAGCGAACCUCAACAUCUUCAUUUCCGCCACCUCCAGCUCUGCUUCCUGCUGUCUCGAAUCCGUCCAUCAUGGCUGGCCUCACCACUGUUUUAUCAACUUUGCCCUUCAUCCUAGCAGAGACUCUUCUGUCACAUAACACACCUGACACCUUCCUCCACCCGUUCCAACCUUCUUCUUCACUUCCUGACCACACUCCCCAUUGCUCUGGACGGUUGACCCCAAGUAUUUCAAGUCCUCCACCUUUGCUAUCUCUUCUUCCCUGUAGCCUCACUCUUCCCCCCACCACCCGUCUCAUUCAUGCACAUAUAUUCUGCCUUACUUCGGCUAAUCUUCAUUCCUCUUCUUUCCAGUGCAUGCCUCCAUCUUUCUAACUGUUCCUCCAGCUGCUCCCUGCUUUCACUGCAGAUCACAAUAUCAUCUGCAAACAUCACGGUCCACGGGGAUUCCAGUCUAACCUCAUCUGUCAGCCUAUCCAUCACCACUGCAAACAGGAAGGGGCUCAGGGCUGAUCCCUGAUGCAGUCCCACGUCCACCUUAAAUUCGUCUGUCACACCUACAGCACACCUCACCGCUGUUCUGCUGCCCUCGUACAUGUCCUGUACUAUUCUAACAGUUACGAAUGCCAUUAGGAGCGCUUAUAUUACUUUUACGUUCGUGUGUUUCUAAUAACAUGAUCCGCUGUGGUUACAUUUGUAUUAUUUAAAUUUACGCUUA